UGACUUUGGUCACAGUCAAACUGCUUUAAGUUUGACCAUGUUUAUAGAAAAAAAUAGUAAUAUUUUCGACCCAAGAUAAAUUUAUUACAAAAAUAUAUUUAAUUAUUAAUUUAAUAAAACUAAUUUGGUAAUGUAAAUAUUACUAUAUUUGUCUAUAAACUUAGUCAAACUUAAAGCAGUUUGACUUUGACUAAAGUCAA
rfam:Oryza glumipatula chromosome 12, whole genome shotgun sequence.